rnacentral:tRNA from 1 species
GCGCCAAUAGCCUAAUGGUUAAGGGUACGGAUUUCCGAUCAUGAGGUCGGGGGUUCGAAUCCC